rnacentral:lncRNA from 10 species
GAGCAAAUCACAAGGCAAACUCAGAUUCAAAGGAAUGAGGAAAUAGCCUCUUGAUGGGAUGAGGUUCAAAGUUCCACUGCAAAACACAUGAAACAGAGAGGCAGGAAAAACAGGAAUAAUGCCUGCAAUCAAUCAAUCUGCCACAGUAAAAUAGCACAAGGUGCCAAGGGAGCAUAUAGAACAUGCAUAUAUUCCAGCCUAGAAAGUCAGCUCUUUCCCAGAGGCUGCAAUUUCUGGGCUUAAUCUUGAAUGAUGGUUGUCACUGAAAAGGCUCAAGGAGCUCUCUUGUUCCUUCCACCAUCUGAGAACACAGUGAGAAGUCCCCAGGCUUCAACCUGAAAAAGGGCCCUCAUCAGAACCUGAUCAUCAGAACUUGGCACCCCAAUCUUUGUCUUCUGAUCUACAUUGUGACCUAAGUCAGUUAUACUCUCUUCUGCUGCCAUGUGAGAAGGCCCAGGCUUGCUUCCCCUUCACCUUCCGCCAUGACUAACUUUCACAUGACGUGAAACUUAACUUCAUUCAGCACUGUACUCCCAUAGCACCUCACUGGAAAGGCAUUCCCUGGCAACCUUCUUUAUAAUGAAGGUAACUUAUCAAGAUGGAUAUCAGGUGCCAGAAGAUGUGUUCAACUGAUAAAGAUUCAACUUGGAAAGGGAUCUACUUACUUCCUGAUAAUAUGCAACAAAACAGAUACAAGGGUUGGCAGUAAUAAACAUUACAAUGGUAACUCUAGACAAAAUAUUUUAGUAGCUGGAGCCAUAUGAUUCCAGAAAAUUGGAAAAAUCAGUUGGUUGAAUCCAUGGAUGCAGAACUGACUGAUAUGAAAUGAAGACUCCAUGUUGCCAAUUUUACAUAUGAAAAUUAAAAGACGUGUGGUAGUACAUUAUUUUUAAAAAUUUAGAGGCCAUUUUAAAAAAAAGAUUGGAGGUUGCUUUAACCACCCAAUCUGGAUAAGAUGUGCCAUCUUGUAGUUCUUGUGAUUCCUUCUAUCAGAGAAUUUGCUACAACAUUUUUGUAACAGUCUAUUUACUUAUCUGCAUCCUUCACUAAAUAGGAAGCUCUUGUUGCCAGAAACGAUGUUUUGUGUAAGCAGUCUUGAGACUGAGAUUGUUAAUGAAUGUUUUUCUGGCUGAAUGAAUGCACA